GAUGAACGCUAGCGGCAGGCUUAAUACAUGCAAGUCGAGGGGCAGCAUGGGUAGCAAUACCUGAUGGCGACCGGCAAACGGGUGCGGAACACGUACGCAGCUUUCCCAGAACUGGUGAAUAGCCCUCCGAAAGGAGGAUUAAUACACCGUAAGAUAGAGAUGUGGCACCACAUUUUUAUUAUAGCUCCGGCGGUGUUGGAUGGGCGUGCGGCUGGUUAGGUAGUUGGCGGGGUACCGGCCCACCAAGCCUACGAUCAGUAACUGGUGUGAGAGCACGACCAGUAACACGGGCCCGGAGACACGGGCCCGACUCCUACGGGAGGCAGCAGUAAGGAAUAUUGGUCAAUGGACGCAAGUCUGAACCAGCCAUGCCGCGUGAAGGAUGAAGGCCCUCUGGGUUGUAAACUUCUUUUAUCUGGGACGAAAAAGGGGCAUUCUUGCUCAACUGACGGUACCAGAGGAAUAAGCACCGGCUAACUCCGUGCCAGCCGCCGCGGUAAAAC
rnacentral:rRNA from 1 species